GACGAACGCUGGCGGCGUGCCUAAUACAUGCAAGUAGAACGCUGAAGAGAGGAGCUUGCUCUUCUUGGAUGAGUUGCGAACGGGUGAGUAACGCGUAGGUAACCUGCCUUGUAGCGGGGGAUAACUAUUGGAAACGAUAGCUAAUACCGCAUAAAAUUGAUUAUUGCAUGAUAAUUAAUUGAAAGAUGCAACUGCAUCACUACCAGAUGGACCUGCGUUGUAUUAGCUAGUUGGUGAGGUAACGGCUCACCAAGGCGACGAUACAUAGCCGACCUGAGAGGGUGAUCGGCCACACUGGGACUGAGACACGGCCCAGACUCCUACGGGAGGCAGCAGUAGGGAAUCUUCGGCAAUGGGGGGAACCCUGACCGAGCAACGCCGCGUGAGUGAAGAAGGUUUUCGGAUCGUAAAGCUCUGUUGUAAGAGAAGAACGGGUGUGAGAGUGGAAAGUUCACACUGUGACGGUAUCUUACCAGAAAGGGACGGCUAACUACGUG
rnacentral:rRNA from 1 species